rnacentral:rRNA from 1 species
CCUACGGGUGGCUGCAGUGGGGAAUAUUGCACAAUGGGCGCAAGCCUGAUGCAGCCAUGCCGCGUGUGUGAAGAAGGCCUUCGGGUUGUAAAGCACUUUCAGCGGGGAGGAAGGCGUUAAGGUUAAUAACCUUGGCGAUUGACGUUACCCGCAGAAGAAGCACCGGCUAACUCCGUGCCAGCAGCCGCGGUAAUACGGAGGGUGCAAGCGUUAAUCGGAAUUACUGGGCGUAAAGCGCACGCAGGCGGUCUGUCAAGUCGGAUGUGAAAUCCCCGGGCUCAACCUGGGAACUGCAUUCGAAGCUGGCAGGCUAGAGUCUUGUAGAGGGGGGUAGAAGUCCAGGUGUAGCGGGGAAAUGCGUAGAGAUCUGGAGGAAUACCGGUGGCGAAGGCGGCCCCCUGGACAAAGACUGACGCUCAGGUGCGAAAGCGUGGGGAGCAAACAGGAUUAGAUACCCUUGUAGUC